rnacentral:rRNA from 1 species
UGGGGAAUUUUGGACAAUGGACGCAAGCCUGAUCCAGCCAUGCCGCGUGCGGGAAGAAGGCCUUCGGGUUGUAAACCGCUUUUGUCAGGGAAGAAAUCUUCUGAGUUAAUACCUCGGGAGGAUGACGGUACCUGAAGAAUAAGCACCGGCUAACUACGUGCCAGCAGCCGCGGUAAUACGUAGGGUGCAAGCGUUAAUCGGAAUUACUGGGCGUAAAGCGUGCGCAGGCGGUUUUGUAAGACAGAGGUGAAAUCCCCGGGCUCAACCUGGGAACUGCCUUUGUGACUGCAAGGCUUGAGUGCGGCAGAGGGGGAUGGAAUUCCGCGUGUAGCAGUGAAAUGCGUAGAUAUGCGGAGGAACACCGAUGGCGAAGGCAAUCCCCUGGGCCUGCACUGACGCUCAUGCACGAAAGCGUGGGGAGCAAACAGGAUUAGAUAGCCCUGGUAGUCCACGCCCUAAACGAUGUCAACUGGUUGUUGGGAAGGUUCCUUCUCAGUAACGUAGCUAACGCGUGAAGUUGACCGCCUGGGGAGUACGGCCGC